CUAACGUGCGCCGGAGACUUAUGUGGGAGAACGGGAUGAAGCGAUAAAUGCACGUGGCCGUGACUUAGAAGAAAACUAGAGGUUUCUACUUCUAUUCAUUUAUAAUGAAUUUGUUUGACGUAUGAUUCGGUUUUAGGUCCGUUUGGGAACAUAUAGGUUAGUGGUUUCAUGCGGAUAAGCGUAUAUCGUACGUUGAUUAUGUCUACUUGUAUAUGGUUGACCAUAGAUAAACUUAAUUACUAGUAUUUUUCUUGUA